rnacentral:rRNA from 1 species
CCUACGGGCGGCAGCAGUGGGGAAUAUUGGACAAUGGGCGAAAGCCUGAUCCAGCCAUGCCGCGUGUGUGAAGAAGGCCUUCGGGUUGUAAAGCACUUUCAGUGGGGAAGAAAGCCUUGGGGCUAAUACCCUCGAGGAAGGACAUCACCCACAGAAGAAGCACCGGCUAACUCCGUGCCAGCAGCCGCGGUAAUACGGAGGGUGCGAGCGUUAAUCGGAAUUACUGGGCGUAAAGCGCGCGUAGGCGGUCUGAUAAGCCGGUUGUGAAAUCCCCGGGCUCAACCUGGGAACGGCAUCCGGAACUGGCAGGCUAGAGUACAGGAGAGGAAGGUAGAAUUCCCGGUGUAGCGGUGAAAUGCGUAGAGAUCGGGAGGAAUACCAGUGGCGAAGGCGGCCUUCUGGACUGACACUGACGCUGAGGUGCGAAAGCGUGGGUAGCAAACAGGAUUAGAUACCCCGGUAGUC